GCACUGCCUCCCUCAUGGCCCAAUCAAGAGAAACCGGCUCUCCUUCAGCGCUUCCGCCGGUAUUCUGGCCGCCUAUCUCUACCAGUACUGUGCACUGGCUUGAGAUUGCACCCGCCCAUCUUGACUGACAUAUCCCCGGGCCCAAUCGUAGGCUCAAGCCGAUGUCCCUCUUCAUUCGAGGACUUUGGCAGCCUCAGUCAUGAUGGAUAAUACUGGUGCCCGACCAAUAGUGGUGCUCCGCCAGAACAGAGGCAACUUCACUCUCCCUUAUCCACCCGAGAAAGCGAGGGGAUGAAGGUGGAGUGGAGUAGUCUGUGCAUUGAGGAAAUGAUUGACGGACAGCCCCCCCCCCCCUUCCAAUCGGAGCGCUGUGCGCAGCCUGGCCAACCUAUGGGACUUGGCUGCUAAGGCGAGAGGCGGGCUUCUCAGAAGUAGGAAGUAUUCGUGGGUCCGUCUGCAGUCAGCCGGGCAAAGGGCUCGGCGGACUCUGGAAAUAGCGCGAACCGUGGACGUGCUCAUGACGAGGGGGGAGUGAGCUCACGAAGGCCACGUACAGGCUGCCCAGAGCUUGCCCAGACUCACAAAAGGGGUUCCCUGAAUUGCGACUUCCUUUGUCUCUGCGUGGUGUGCUUAAUUCCAAGCUCCUUGUCAUGUUGGCUGAAUCAACAUCCCCAGGAUAUGGCCAGAAGGCAGUGGUCUGCACACCAGGAAGUGGAUUCUCACCAGAUACCAAGGCUGUGGCCACUUUGAUUUUGGACUUUCCAGCCUGCAGAACUGUGAUCAAGGCUACUGAAGGGGUAUUUGAGUUCAUUUAUCUGACUUCUAAGGACAACAGUGUUUACAUUCAGAAGUGGACACCUCGGAAGAAAUUCUUCAUCUAGGAUGAUCAAGUCUCCUGAGGAGAAAUUUCAAUAUACCUACACAUCUGAUGAGAAAAAGUACCAUGGUGAAAAAAUACAUUCAUGAUUCUGUCUACUGAGAAGGCCUGGAAGCAGUGACACCCCAGUAGCAAUGAUGAACCCGUGUCCAGAUACAAUUUUCUAAAUUCCAUUGUUCAACUAAAAGCCAAUGGGACAUGGCGAAGAGUAUAAAAAGGAAAAACGGUGCCUUUGCAGUGGAGAAACUUGGCGGACCCCAGCCUAACCAAGUGAUCAUUGUUAACACCAUCAGUGAUGUAAUAUCAAGGCUAGGUACUUGUGAUACAGUGCAAUGAGAGUAUUUCCUCUUUGUGCUAUUCUUGAAAAUUGACAGCCCCGGUCUGAUCAUGAAAAUACAUCAGACACAUCCAAAUUGAGGGAGUCUCCAGAACACCAGUACACUGUAAAACUGCCAGGUCACUGAAAAUGAAGUUCCAUUAAGAAGUUGUCACAGACCAGGGGUGCCUGGGUGGCUCAGUCAUUUAAGCAUCCGACUCUUAUUUUGGCUCGGGAUGUGAUCUCAUGGUUCAUGAGUUUGAGCCCC